rnacentral:antisense_RNA from 1 species
GGUUGCUGCUCUCCAUGAGCUGUUCCAACUGUGAAGCAAAAGCUUCAUGCAUAAAGGCAUCCCAACACAGUCAAUGACGCACAGGAGAAAGAGGACAGAGAUAAGCUUCUUGCCUGUUCCAGACACUGAGGAUCAGGCAGAGAGAGAGGCUCCUGCCAGGCUGAGCUUUUCCGGAGUGUGGAGAUGAACAGCCGAUGAACAGCCAUCCUGGGUCCUGAGGUGGAAGCCAGGUGUGGAAGAUGGAGGGCAUCGGUUAGGAGUCUAGUCCCUGAUGGUCACGGAGCUGCAGAACCAGCCUGGGCUGCUUCCUGCUGGAUGUCCCUUACUGGAGAGCGAAAUUAACAUUCUUCAGCUACUGUUA